CAGAGUUACCUAACUCCAAACCCAUGUGAACUUACCUAUGUUGCCUCGGCGGGGAAGCCUACCCGGUACCUACCCUGUAGCUACCCGGGAGCGAGCUACCCUGUAGCCCGCUGCAGGCCUACCCGCCGGCGGACACUUAAACUCUUGUUUUUUAGUGAUUAUCUGAGUGUUUAUACAUAAUAAGUUAAAACUUUCAACAACGGAUCUCUUGGUUCUGGCAUCGAUGAAGAACGCAGCGAAAUGCGAUAAGUAAUGUGAAUUGCAGAAUUCAGUGAAUCAUCGAAUCUUUGAACGCACAUUGCGCCCGCCGGUAUCCCGGCGGGCAUGCCUGUUCGAGCGUCAUUACAACCCUCAGGCCCUAGCUGCUGGCGUUGGGAGCCUAUCUGCGCUGCAGGCCUCUAAAGACAGCGGCGGGUGCGUCCCACAACCGAACGCAGUAGUUACUUCUCGUUCCGGGUGUAGGCGUACGCUUGCCGUAAAACCCCCAAUUUACAAGGUGACC
rnacentral:misc_RNA from 1 species